rnacentral:rRNA from 1 species
AUGACUACGAGAAGACCGCUCGAGCUACUUCAUAUGGAUCUCUUUGGUCCAAACGCCUAUAAGAGUCUCGGUGGAAACUCGUUUGGUUUAGUCAUAGUCGAUGAUUUUUCAAGAUUUACGUGGGUGUUCUUUCUUGAGGAUAAAUCACAGGUCCAAAAGAUCUUCAAGAACUUCGCUAGAAAGGCCAAAAAUCAAUUUGAAGUGAAGAUCAAGAAGGUUCGCAGCGACAACGGAACGGUGUUCAAGAACGCGAAUAUGGACAACUUUCUUGACGAAGAAGGGAUUUCACAUGAGUUCUCGGCUACGUACACGCCUCAACAAAAUGGAGUUGUUGAGAGGAAGAACCAGACUCUUAUUGAGAUGGCAAGAACGAUGCUUGAUGAGUACAAUACGCCAAAACACUUUUGGACUGAAGCGGUUGAGACAGCUUGUCAUGCAACAAAUCGUCUAUAUCUUCACAAGCUACUCGGCAAGACAACAUACGAGCUUCUCACUGGUAACAAACCCCAAGUUGGAUACUUUCGAGUAUUCGGCUCAAAGUGCUAUAUUGUUGAUAAGCAUCGUCGUUCUAAAUUUGCUCCUAAAUCUCAUGAGGGUUUCCUACUCGGUUAUGGCUCAAACUGUCACACUUACCGUGUCUACAAUUUCACCCAAAAGGUUGAAGAGACGGUAGAUGUGAAGUUUGGUGAAUCUAACGGCUCGCAAGUAGAGCAAUUGCCAAUUGAUGUAGGAGACAAAGACCCUUCGGAAGCAAUCCAAGACUUGUCUAUUGGCAAGAUUUGUCCAACGGAGGUGAAGGAGAGUACCUCGUCCGUCCAAGUGGAAGCUUCUACCUCACGACAAGGUGAACCAAGAGUUGACACAGAGGCAUCCACAAGUGGGACACGCCAAGAUGAAGAAAACGAGGAAGUACACCAAGAUGAACCUCAUCAACCUCCUUCUCCACCUCGACAAGAGAACGACAAUAUCAACAACGAAGAAGGCCAAGAGGAAGAAUGA